CCCAGCAUAACCAAACAUCAAAACGCAUGCUGCUGAAAGUGAUCCUGGUGGGUUUGGCCAUUCUUGGUCUCACUGUGACAGAGGGGAGCGCCAUGCCAGGCAGCAGCUCCAGUGAAGUAGAGGCCAGGGCUGAUCCCGAGACUGCUGAGCGUGCAGAGCAGACUAACGCCGAGGAGGCACGUAUCAGCGAGGGAUGCCUGGCUUCUCUGUGCGGGUAGUAAACUGAUGCAAGAAAGUGAGACGUCCGACAGUAGGGCGAAUGAUUCAU